GUCCCAACCUCACACAGUGCACCUGUGUGCCCUUCCAGAGUGUCCCUCGGUGGCAGUGUUCACAUCCUGCACACACACAGCAGAACUGGCCUCUACUUUUUCGUAGCAACACAUGCUGGCCCACUGAGUUUUGAAAGCCCUUUGCCACGUGGAGAACAUGGCAGGGUGAUUUGCAGGGCUUUCCAGCCUCCUGGCCCUGGGAAGAGUGUGAGCUCUGGCUUCUGCCUCCUCGAUCACAGCAGACCAGCUUACUUUCACCUCUUGAACAAGUGAGAGACAUAGGAAGAAAAAGCUUCCUCAAGAUAAGAGCAGGAGCCUAUGUUGUACGUGCACUCAGUGGAUCAAAACAUGAAGCUUUGCUGACAGCAUUUCCUUCUCCAUCCACAUCGCUGGUAUCAUCUGCCUGAUAUUUCCAAGGUGUGUUCUCACCUCCGACAUUCAGCUUAUCAAGAGGUUAAUACUACCUCGUUAUCACAUCAUUUUUGUUACUGCAAGAGGAUUUACACACAGACUGAAAAACUGCAAAACAGAUAGAGGCGAGGGAGGUACUAUAAAAAAUAAUCCUGCCUCAUUUUUUCUCAUUUGACUCUUCAGUCAUUUUUUCUUAGUUGGUUAGUGUCCAAAGUUACUCUUGAGCUUGGUUUGAGAACUCAGCUUGAACCCUCAGUAUUUUACUUCUUCAAAACUGCUCAUGUUUUGAUGAGCUCUAUUAAUGCCUGGGUGAUUACAGGAGGAACAGUACUCUGCUGGGAGUUUCAGGAGCACUGAGCAGGGGGAUCACCCCUUCCCUCAGUCUGCCAGUGCAGCCCAGCCAGCCUGCAUGCUGUGGGGCACUGCCAGCACCCGCUGCUGCCCUCCCCAGACUUGCUGAGGGUGCACUGUGUCCCACUGCCCAGGGCACUGGGGAGGUGCUUAGUUCCAGGAGCCUCCUUCUCCUCUGAGAAACGUCACACCUGACUUGUUGCCAGCCAGGCUGUGAAUUUUUCCUGAGCAUUCCUUAAAGUUCCUCAGCCUACCCUAUGGGUCACUCAGCCCGUCCUCAUUUUCAAAUUGUUUGCAAGUGUUCUGGAUGUCAAAAGCCUUGAAAAUGUCAAGGUAUACUUUACUAUUGCUAAUCCUGACAUUUGUUCUUUUAUACAUUGUUCUUUUAUACAUUAAAAACACCUAAAUAUAUAAAAACACAAACAAAGCUUAUUUGGGGGAAAAAAAAAGAGUUCAAAAUUAAAGACUGUAUCAAACUUUUAUAGCUUUCUUGCAAGACAUUGUUAAGUACUCACUCAAAAUUCUCAAAGGCUUCAAUUAAAAUUUUGACAUAAUAACACUUCUCCGUGGUGGCUAGUUUUGUAUCUGUAAUACAUAAGUUUAUUAAACAAG
rnacentral:lncRNA from 1 species